rnacentral:rRNA from 1 species
CCCUUAGAUGUCCUGGGCCGCACGCGCGCUACACUGAACGGAUCAGCGCGUUUUCCCUUCCCGAGAGGGACGGGUAACCUGCUGAACCCCGUUCGUGGUAGGGAUCGGGGCUUGCAAUUAUUCCCCGUGAACCAGGAAUGCCCAGUAAGUGCAAGUCAUAAGCUUGCGUUGAUUACGUCCCUGCCCUUUGUACACACCGCCCGUCGCUACUACCGAUUGAACGUUUUAGUGAGGUACUCGGACUGAGCCUCAGAAGAUUCACGUCUUUUGUGCUGCUCGGGAAGAUUCCCAAACUUGAGCGUUUAGCGGAAGUAAAAGUCGUAACA